UUGUUACCGGGUAUUUGCAAACAAUAAAGCAUUUCCAAGCGAUUUGUAGGAUAUUGAAGGACUUACAGUUGUUUAUUUGUGACUGUGAGAGCGGCAGGAACAGUGAGAUGAAAGUUGUGCAUUGUGCAAGGAGUUGGGAACAAUUAUCGACGGUCCAGAUUGGCGGCCGUCACCGCCCGCGGCCAUCAGAGAUCAUCACCGGGGUUAAUCGGCUCGGCGGGCCGGUCUAGCUGCCAGGGGCCGACUGCCGCCGGCGCCGCCCCGUCCACCACCCGGCGGGGCAGCACUCAUCAAUCGGACCCGGCCCGAGGCAGAUCAUCCCCCCCCCCAGCUUCAUAGCUGGUCGACUUUCAUCUGAAGAUGCCCCGCCCUCUUAUGAAGAACAAUUACUGUGUUUAUUGUAUAUUCAUAAUUUUGUAAAGGUCUCAAUAAAAUCCGAAGUACGGCUCCAA
rnacentral:lncRNA from 1 species